UAACCUACAAAUUCCUCCAUC
rnacentral:siRNA from 1 species